rnacentral:rRNA from 1 species
AUUGAACGCUGGCGGCAGGCCUAACACAUGCCAGUCGAGCGGAUGAAGGGGGCGUGCGCCUGGAUUCAGCGGCGGACGGGUGAGUAAUGCCUAGGAAUCUGCCUGGUAGUGGGGGAUAACGUCCGGAAACGGGAGCUAAUACCGCAUACGACCUGAGGGAGAAAGUGGGGGAUCUUCGGACCUCACGCUAUCAGAUGACCCUAGGUCGGAUUAGCUAGUUGGUGAGGUAAAGGCGUACCAAGGCGACGAUCCGUAGCUGACCUGAGAGGGUGAUCUGCCACACUGGAACUGAGACACGGUCCAGACUCCUACGGGAGGCAGCAGUAGGGAAUAUUCGGCAAUGGGCGAAAGCCUGACGGAGCAACGCCGCGUGAGUGAUGAAGGUCUUCGGAUCGUAAAACUCUGUUAUUAGGGAAGAACAAAUGUGUAAGAAACUGUGCACGUCUUGACGUUACCUAAACAGAAAGCCCCGGCUAACUACGUG